GUUAAGAUGGCAGAGCCUGGAAAUUGCGUAAGACUUAAAACUUUAUUAUCAGAGGUUCAACUCCUCUUCUUAACA
rnacentral:tRNA from 2 species